rnacentral:tRNA from 1 species
GUAGAUAUAGUUUAACAAAAACAUUAGAUUGUGAGUCUAAAAAUAGGGUAUUAUAUCCCUUAUCUACC